GAGGGUAUAGCUCAGUGGUAGAGCGUGUGCCUAGCAUGCACUAGGUCCUGGGUUCAAUUCCCAGUACCUUCA
rnacentral:tRNA from 1 species